rnacentral:rRNA from 1 species
AACGAACGCUGGCGGCAUGCCUAACACAUGCAAGUCGAACGAGACCUUCGGGUCUAGUGGCGCACGGGUGCGUCACGCGUGGGAAUCUACCCUUGGGUUCGGAAUAACAGUUAGAAAUGACUGCUAAUACCGGAUGAUGACGUAAGUCCAAAGAUUUAUCGCCCAAGGAUGAGCCCGCGUAAGAUUAGCUUGUUGGUGGGGUAAUGGCCUACCAAGGCGACGAUCUUUAGCUGGUCUGAGAGGAUGAUCAGCCACACUGGGACUGAGACACGGCCCAGACUCCUGCGGGAGGCAGCAGUGGGGAAUAUUGGACAAUGGGCGAAAGCCUGAUCCAGCAAUGCCGCGUGAGUGAUGAAGGCCUUAGGGUUGUAAAGCUCUUUUACCAGGGAUGAUAAUGACAGUACCUGGAGAAUAAGCUCCGGCUAACUCCGUGCCAGCAGCCGCGGUAA